rnacentral:lncRNA from 1 species
UUUCAGGAUCAGGCCUUCCAGUUAUUCUCUGACUUUGUAUGAGAGUUUAUCAAUGUUCCUUUUCUUGUUUAAAUAUCAGCUUACCUAUAGGACAGUAAUGGUUAGUGACUUAGAUAUUUAGGUAAAUAUACCCUAUCUUAAUUCCUGUAUCAGAGCAUUGUCACCCAUCUUUCAUAGAUUCACUCCUAUUUUUUCUCAUCAUUUUUAUCAUUUCUAGAAACAAGUACUAAAUGUUUAGAUGUUCCCAGCUUAGAAACACUUCUUCCCUUGUCCAUCCCCAUGGAUGGGAUGUAGUUUUUCAGGCUUGCCCACUGAUUCACUUAUCUUUUUGUUUCAUAGCCAGAAGAAAUUCAACAGCAGAUUGUUCGAGAGACUUUCCAUCUAGUCCUCAAGCGGGAUGACAACAUCUGUAACUUCUUGGAGGGUGGAAGUUUGAUUGGUGGCUCUGACUACAAACUGAUCUACCGGCACUAUGCUACCCUCUACUUUGUAUUUUGUGUGGAUUCCUCAGAGAGUGAACUUGGAAUCUUGGACCUCAUCCAGGUAU